UGGUAUCCCAAUAGUCUUCUGCAAAAAACAUGCAUAUAGGAAAAAGCUAGGUGAAAAUCUCUCAUUGUCAUAUAAUUUUAGACAGCAAAACAUACAAACAUACAGCUCUAAAAGAAAGGAAAAGUUUUAAUGUACAAUUUCAGAAAACUGAAAAGGAAUUAUAAUAUAAAAACUUGUCUUUCUGGUGCCACCAACCCCAUUUAAAAAGCCUGAAUAGCCUUGCUUAUGCUCAAGAAUCAUCAUCUGUGUGUAUUGCAUUUAUUGAAAGUGGUUACUCUUAAGGGCCUCGCAGAUAUGAAUGACCCUUUGCCUAAGGUAAAAACAUUUUGCUAUAGUUCAACUUGGUAAUAGCAAGAAGACCACUGAUGUAUUUGCUUUUGCUGUCAAUGAAAAAUUUACUACCAAAACAAUAUCAGGACAUAAAUUAUCAUGAGGGUUUGCCACAAAUUCAAAAUAAUAUCCAUAAAAAGCUUCACAUGAACAAUUUUGUAUUAUCAACAGAGCAUGGAUGCCCUUAAUAUUAAGGAUGAAGGCACUGUUCAUCAGCCAGUUUGUUAAUGAGAAGGAUACAGAAAUUAUGAAUGUGAGAUUUAAAGUUUUCACAUAUUAUCACAGAGCAUAAAAAUGGCUUAAAGAUCUCAUCUUAUAGCAGCAGUUUUGAUAAGAUGUUUAUAUUCCUUCUGCCUCAAGGCAGGAUAAUGGAACAUUCUUGAGGGAUUAGCUUAAAGUUGUCAAAUCCAGCAAUAAAAAUAUUUGUCUCAUAUGUCAGUUUGUUAGUGCAUUUGGAGCCAUAGAAAAUAAUCUCCAAAAGAAUUAGCAAAAGACUUCUUGACAAUUUGAGGAGCAUUUCUCUUAUACAUAAGAGCUUCCUACUUACCUUGCAUGGCAUAAAAACAGAAAAGAAGCAGGCCUUGACAUGAGACUUCUAACAGGGAAGUAGUAAACAGCCCUCUUAGCAAUUUCUAGGUGAGCUAAUCAUUUAUCAAAUAGAAAUGAAUGAAAAAUUUAUUCAAAGACGGGCAAUUUCCUUUUUUGAACAGUUUAGGAGAGGAAUCUGCAGCUACCCUUGAGCAUUUGUGGAGAGCCUGGAGGGAAGCAAGAGUUAUAGCUUUCUUUAAAUGGCCAGACCUGAAGAAGAUAUGAAACAAAUGUUAAAGCCCUCCACAUUCACAAGAGCCUCAGAGAAAAGAGAAAAAAGCUAUGGAUUAGGCCAAGUACAAGAUAAUAUACAAUAAGUUUCUGUUUCAAGAUAGAAACAGUAGCAAAGCCAAAGGUCCUGCUGGUUCUGCUGAGCAGCUGCAAGAAUUUCCAAAGAUAAGAUUUACUG